GACGAACGCUGGCGGCGUGCCUAACACAUGCAAGUCGAACGGGGUAGAGAGCUUCGGUUUUCUACUUAGUGGCGAACGGGUGAGUAACGCGUGAGAAACCUGCCUUUCAGUGGGGGACAACAGUUGGAAACGACUGCUAAUACCGCAUAAUGUUAUUUGGGGGCAUCCCUGGAUAACCAAAGCUUUAUGUGCUGAAAGAUGGUCUCGCGUCUGAUUAGCUAGAUGGCGGGGUAACGGCCCACCAUGGCGACGAUCAGUAGCCGGUCUGAGAGGAUGAACGGCCACAUUGGGACUGAGAUACGGCCCAGACUCCUACGGGAGGCAGCAGUGGGGAAUAUUGGGCAAUGGGGGAAACCCUGACCCAGCAACGCCGCGUGAGGGAAGAAGGCUUUCGGGUUGUAAACCUCUUUUAGCAGGGACGAAGAACGUGACGGUACCCGCAGAAAAAGCAACGGCUAACUACGUGCCAGCCGCCGCCGUAACAC
rnacentral:rRNA from 1 species